CAGCAGCCGCGGUAAUACCGGCGGCCCGAGUGGCGGUCACUCUUAUUGGGCUUAAAGCGUCCGUAGCCGGGUUGGGAAAUCCUCCGGGAAAUCUGGCCGCUUAACGGUCAGAAUGCCGGAGGAUACUCCCAGCCUAGGGAGCGGGAGAGGCCGAGGGGAUUCCCGGAGGAGGGGUGGAAUCCUAUAAUCCCGGGAGGACCACCUGUGGCGAAGGCGCUCGGCUGGAACGCGUCCGACGGUGAGGGACGAAGGCCAGGGGAGCAAACCGGAUUAGAUACCCGGGUAGUCCUGGCUGUAAACGAUGCGGACUUUGUGUCGGACAAGCUAUGAGCUUGUCCGGUGCCGGAGGGAAACCGUUAAGUCCGCCGCCUGGGGAGUACGGCCGCAAGGCUGAAACUUAAAGGAAUUGGCGGG
rnacentral:rRNA from 1 species